AUUGAACGCUGGCGGCAGGCCUAACACAUGCAAGUCGAGCGGAUGAAGGGAGUUGCUCCUGGAUUCAGCGGCGGACGGGUGAGUAAUGCCUAGGAAUCUGCCUGGUAGUGGGGGAUAACGUCCGGAAACGGGCGCUAAUACCGCAUACGUCCUGAGGGAGAAAGUGGGGGAUCUUCGGACCUCACGCUAUCAGAUGAGCCUAGGUCGGAUUAGCUAGUUGGGGGGGUAAAGGCCUACCAAGGCGACGAUCCGUAACUGGUCUGAGAGGAUGAUCAGUCACACUGGAACUGAGACACGGUCCAGACUCCUACGGGAGGCAGCAGUGGGGAAUAUUGGACAAUGGGCGAAAGCCUGAUCCAGCCAUGCCGCGUGUGUGAAGAAGGUCUUCGGAUUGUAAAGCACUUUAAGUUGGGAGGAAGGGCAGUAAGUUAAUACCUUGCUGUUUUGACGUUACCAACAGAAUAAGCACCGGCUAACUUCGUG
rnacentral:rRNA from 1 species